UACAGAGGGUGCAAGCGUUAAUCGGAAUUACUGGGCGUAAAGCGUGCGUAGACGGUUAUUUAAGUCAGGUGUGAAAGCCCCGGGCUCAACCUGGGAAUUGCAUUUGAGACUGAAUAGCUAGGGUGCGGAAGAGGGAAGCGGAAUUUCCGGGUGUAGCGGUGGAAUGCGUAGAGAUCCGGAAGAACACCGGUGGCGAAGGCGGUCUGCUGGGCAGUUGCUGACACUGAGGCGCGACAGCGUGGGGAGCAAACAGG
rnacentral:rRNA from 1 species